AGUCGAACGAUGAAGCCCUUCGGGGUGGAUUAGUGGCGAACGGGUGAGUAACACGUGGGCAAUCUGCCCUUCACUCUGGGACAAGCCCUGGAAACGGGGUCUAAUACCGGAUACGACCCGGAAGCGCAUGCUUCUGGGUGGAAAGCUCCGGCGGUGAAGGAUGAGCCCGCGGCCUAUCAGCUUGUUGGUGGGGUAAUGGCCUACCAAGGCGACGACGGGUAGCCGGCCUGAGAGGGCGACCGGCCACACUGGGACUGAGACACGGCCCAGACUCCUACGGGAGGCAGCAGUGGGGAAUAUUGCACAAUGGGCGAAAGCCUGAUGCAGCGACGCCGCGUGAGGGAUGACGGCCUUCGGGUUGUAAACCUCUUUCAGCAGGGAAGAAGCGAAAGUGACGGUACCUGCAGAAGAAGCGCCGGCUAACUACGUGCCAGCAGCCGCGGUAAUACGUAGGGCGCAAGCGUUGUCCGGAAUUAUUGGGCGUAAAGAGCUCGUAGGCGGCUUGUCACGUCGGAUGUGAAAGCCCGGGGCUUAACCCCGGGUCUGCAUUCGAUACGGGCUAGCUAGAGUGUGGUAGGGGAGAUCGGAAUUCCUGGUGUAGCGGUGAAAUGCGCAGAUAUCAGGAGGAACACCGGUGGCGAAGGCGGAUCUCUGGGCCAUUACUGACGCUGAGGAGCGAAAGCGUGGGGAGCGAACAGGAUUAGAUACCCUGGUAGUCCAC
rnacentral:rRNA from 1 species